rnacentral:piRNA from 1 species
UUAAUUUAUUUAUUUAAUGGG